rnacentral:tRNA from 1 species
UUAAUUGAAACCAAAAAAGAGGUAAAUUAUUGUUAAUAAUUAAAUUGAAAAUUAAAAAUCCAAUUGAA